GUUUACUGGUUUGAUCCCGUCGUGCCUGAUAGAAGGCAACGGCCUCCUGCGUGUGUUGAAUCUAAGAGGGAACAGAUUGCUCCGUGGGACGACAUUGCCUAAUAAUAUUAGCCGCGAGUGUCCUCUUCGGACGCUAAUUUUGAACAGCAAUGGGAUCGAAGGGCCGCUACCAAAGUCUUUGGCCAACUGCAGCAUGCUCGAGGUGCUGGACUUGGGGAACAAUCGGAUAGUCGACAGGUUCCCAUUUUGGUUGGGGAAUCUCUCAAUGCUCCAAGUCCUUAUCCUUGGCUCCAACAAAUUCUAUGGCUCUGUCGAACUUCCUCCGCAAGGUGAAAGAAGUGACUACCAUUUCCCGAGCCUGAGAAUUCUCGACCUCUCCUCAAACAUUUUCAUUGGUAACUUGUCGUGGAGCCUCUUCGAGAAUCUUACAGCCAUGAUGGUCACUAGCUCUGCGGACAUGGAAGUUUUGGAAUUUAAUUAUGUGGUAUUUCCCAGUUAUUCUGAUUUUGAUGUGGCUCCUUAUCUUGAUACAGUUGUGGUGAUUGACAAAGGGCAGGACGUAACACUUGCAAAGAUCUUGACAGCAUUUACGAUGAUCGACCUUUCGAGCAACCAAUUCCACGGUGCAAUCCCUGAGGUGAUCGGGAACCUCCGCUCGUUGCGAGGGCUAAACAUGUCGCACAACGCCUUCACCGGAGGAAUUCCUUCUGGAUUUGGGGGCUUGGCGCAACUCGAGUCUUUGGACCUUUCUUCCAACCGACUCUCGGGGGAGAUUCCGGAGAGUUUGACCUCCCUGACCUUCCUCGAGUUGUUGAAUCUCUCCUACAACUCUCUAGUGGGGAGGAUACCGCAAGGCAAUCAAUUCUUUGCGUUCCCAAAUAGCUCAUUUGAGGGGAACGUGGGAUUGUGCGGGCGCCCCCUAUCGAAACAAUGCAAUACUGAUUCGAGUUCGACGUCUCCUGCACCAGUUUCACCUUCUUCGACAUCCAAACACAGGGCUUGGAAACACAGAGUUGAGACAAUCUUAUUGUUCCUCUUCGUCGGAUUAGGAUUCGGGGUCGGUUUUGCAUCGGUGAUCGUGUUUCAAGUGGUUUGCAGAUCUGGAAGAAUAUGGCUAAACAAGCUUUUCAUCAGGCGUUAGAUUAACCAAGAUUGAUUCCUCUUCUACUUGAUGUUUUAUUUUUGAUGAACGAAUAAGAAAAUUUGGUCAAAUAAAUGAAUGUUGGUUGCGAUUGUUUAGAACAAAACUUUUGAACAAUUAAAGAGAUAUGUAACUAGCAAAGUUGUUAGCUUUCUUUUUUUGCUGUUCUUUGAAUGCAUCAAAUAUUUGGAUUUGCUCGAAUGUUCUUACAAACCGAGUUUUCCUGAGACUAGUUUUAAUUCUAAAUUUAUGAUCGAACAUUAUUAAGAUACAAUAAGAGUAGCAGCUCCCAUGGAAAGCACUUAACAUUAAAGCACCUCAACCUUUCAAAAAAACAAAAAAAUGUUUUUUUUUUUAAUAAUUAUUAUUAUUUUGUGUUCAAUUUGAAGAAGCAUAAUACUUGAAUUAAUUAUUUACCCAAAAGGCCAAAACAAAUUAUUGCACUUAGGAGUUGUAUGCUACUGUGUUGAGAGCGUAGAAUAAGAAACCAAAAGGUAUACUAACGCACCAUUAAUUGGCCUCCAACGUUUAUUCCUUUUAUUAAUCCAACUUUUUUCUUUUUUUAAUAUCUUGCUAUUAAGUUCCUAUAUUUCAUAUUUUAUUUCAGUUUAGUCCCAACCAAUCGUAUUUUUGCUAAUUUUAACCCAAAAAAAAAAACCACGUCAACUUCAAUAAAGCCCUGUUUGUUUAUGCAAAUCUCAGUCAUAAUCCAAUAGCAUUUGGUCAAUUCCGACACAGACUUUCAGAUUUCUGAAAAAGUUUGAUAACAUGCCCCGUUAGUUUACCUUUUAUUUAUAAAUACGCAUUGUGAAUAAAAUUAAAUACUUUUAACGAGUUAUAUUUACCUGGAAAUAUAAAUUAAGUAAUUUGGUUUCAAAAUUGAGAUCUCGAGUAUCAAUUAUCAAGCCUUCUGCCACUUGCGCUUCGGACGAUCGGUAGAUUUUCUGACGUCAAUAGUGAUAGUUGGAGAAUUAAAAUAAAUCCUCAUUGCAAUUCAUCCAUAAAAGGAGUUAAUUGGACCAUCAGUGACUGACCUUCAUAAUCUCGUUUUNNNNNNNNNNNNNNNNNNNNNNNNNNNNNNNNNNNNNNNNNNNNNNNNNNNNNNNNNNNNNNNNNNNNNNNNNNNNNNNNNNNNNNNNNNNNNNNNNNNNGACUUGCGAUGUGAAAGAAAAAGAGAUUUAGUAGACCAACUUUUUUUACCUAUGUGUUUGAGGUCUUUGAUUUUAAAUUUGAGCUAUUUCCGGAGGGAUAAAAGAUAGUUAAAAGAUUCAGCUCUCUAUAUAUACAUAUAUUCUAAUGGUUUUCUAUGAAAUGCGUUUUGAUAAAUAAUGCUCGAUACAAGGCUCUUGGCUACAUAUUAAAGGCACCAUCGGCUGAUCUCGAUUUGCUGUCUUUGCACAAUCAACACAGGUCGAGUUGAUAUUCUGUUAUGAUAGAUGGGAACCUCUUUAGGUUUAUAACAUAUAAGCUCGACCCUUCUAAUUUCUUACGAUAAAAAUUUUUCUCCGAUACAAACUCUUGAUUAAGUGGCAUUAACAUCACAUUUGACACCUAAGGAAGGUACAACCCAACUAUCUUUAUUUCAAGUAAAAGCUAUUCAUUCAAAUCCUGACUUUGAAUCUAAAAUCUUGUUAUUCCACUUUAAUCAAUACUUAAAGUGCAUAUCUACUUUGAUUGGUACCCAAAAUGCAUCUCCUUCACCGAUUGUUUCACUUUUGAUGAGCUUUUUGAUAAAAUGUAUUCUCGAGUGCGGAUUUUCUUCUAUACGUAGGUGUGGCAAAAGUUAGGCUCAUUAUUAUUUUUUAUACUUUAAAUUCUGGUUCAUACAUCUUAAUCAUUAUUACACCAUCAAUCACAAUAUUAUCACGUCACUCUGUUUUCAUGCUUAUAAAUGAUACUUCAGUAAAAUAAAACUGCCUAACACCUAUAUGAAAAUGCACUAUACUGUAGUAUCCCUUUCUGUGUUUAUCCCCUUUUUUUUUGAGAAUUAGUUUGGACAAAAUUUACUAUUUCAUCCUUGAUCUUGAAUUAGAGGGACCUUAGUGGGACACUGGGAGGAUACAUCACGGAUCAAGCAUCUUGUGACAAAAGAUAUAAAUUUGGCCCUAUUCUUUUAAGGCAAUUUGAUGCAAUGUCGUUUUCAAGAGAAAAUAAUUCUAAAAUAAAAUAGCAAUUAAUCUUAAAAAAUUAGAAAUUAUGUAAUGUUCGGUAGAAAACAUUCUACUUUGACCUUACUGGGGGUGGAAACUAGGGGUGGAAACGAGCCGAGCUCGAGCGAGCUUAUCUCGGAUAUAUAUAUAUAUAUAUAUAUAUAUAAUUUUUUAUACAUUUAUAUAAUAUAAAAUUAAUAUAUAUCCGACUCACUUAUUAGCCUCAAAUCAAUUUUAACCCGGUUAUAACAACUGGGUAUUUUUGUUUGAGUUAUCUGUUUAUUUUCUAGUUUUAAAGUGAUUUAAAUAUGUAAAAAGGAAAGAAAAAAAGAAAGUGUCUCGAGAUUUAAAAAUUAUACAAAGAUAGAAAGAGAAAAAGACAGAGAGUGGGAUUCACCGGUUCGGCCUUCGGGAGGUUCAAUGGUUCAUUGUCGUAUAUGGGCGGUAACGGAUGGAACGAUAAUUAACAUACAAACUCUUUUAUAUGUUUUAUAAAAAUGUCAUUCUUUUAUAAUAAGUAUAUUUUAAAAUUAAAAUCAAUAUAUACUAACCUAUCAAAUUAGGUUAUAAAUAGAUAUAUUAAAUAAAUAAAAACUAACAUAUUUACUUUUACUUAUUAUACCUCUAACUUCCGCUUUCUUUUCUAUACACUCUGCCUUUUCUUAUCUAUAAGUUGAGUUUUAAAAAAAAAAAGUAUAAUAUUAUGAUAUAAAGUAUAUGAAGAAAACAUGAAACUUGAUAAACUGUAUAAAAACAUAGUUUAAUAUCUAUUAUAAGAUAUGUUUAAUUUGAUAACUAGCAUACUACAACUCUUAAAGUUCGCCGAGCAAAUCCCGAGCUCGAGCGAGCUGAGCUUUGAUCCGAGCGAGCUCGAGCCGAGCUUAAUUAAAGUUAGGUUCGAACUCGAAUUUAAAUCCGAGCUUUAAUUAAAGUUCGGCUUAAACUCNUUUUAAUAGUUUUCUAUGAUAUGCGUUUCGAUAAAUAAUGCUCGAUACAAGGCUCUUGACUACAUCUUAAGGGCACCAUCGGUUGAUCUCGAUUUGCUGCCUUUGCACAAUUAGCACAGGUCGAGUUGAUAUUCUGUUAUGAUAGAUGGGAACCUCUUUAGGUUUAUAACAUAUAAACUCGACCCUUCUAAGUUCUUACGAUAAAAGUUUUUCUUCGAUACAAAAUCUCAAUUCAGUGGCAUUAACAUCACAUUUGACACCUAAGAAAGGUACAACCCGACUAUUUUUAUUUUAAGUAAAAGCUAUUCAUUCAAAUUCUGACUUUGAAUCUAAAAUCUUGUUUUUUUUUUUUGAGAGAUAGAUAGCACGCUAUCCGCUUCGUUUAUUUCAUUUAGAAAUAAACUUAGCUAGAAAUGUGAAUCAACUAGGAUUCGAACUUGGGUCUCGGAUACCAAUCACCAAGCCUUUUGCCACUUACUUUAGGGACGGUCGGUGAAUCUAAAAUCUUGUUAUUCCGCUUUAAUCAAUACUUAAGUGCAUAUCCGCUGCAGUUGGUACUCAAAAUGCAUCUCCUUCACCGAUUGUUUCACUUCCCACAAACUUCUUGACAAAAUAUAUCCUCAAGUGCGGAUUUUCUUCUACAGGCAGGUGUGGCAAAGUUAGCCUCAUUGCCAUUUUUUAUAAUUUAGAUUCUGGUCCAUACAUCUUAAUCAUUAUUACGCAAUCAAUCACAAUAUUAUCACGUCACUCUGUUUUCGUGACAAUACUUAUAAAUGAUACUUCAAUAAAAUAAAAUUGCCUAAAACCGAUAUGAAAAUGCACUGUACUGUAGUAUCCUUUUUUGUGUUUAUCCAAAUUUUUUUUGAGAAUUAGUUUGAACAAAAUUUACUAUUCCAUGCUUGAUCUUGAAUUAGAGGGACCUUAGUGGUACACUUGGAGGAUACAUUACGGAUCAAGCAUCUUGUGACAAAAGAAAUAAAUUUGGCCCUAUUAAUUGUUUAAGGCAAUUUGAUAGAAUGUCGUUUUCAAGAGAAAAUUAUUCCAAAAUAAAAUAGCAAUUGAUCUUAAAAAAUUAGAAAUUAUGUAACGUUAGGUAGAAAACAUCCUACUUUGACUUUACCAAUCAAAUUGCAAGGCCUAGUUUACCACAUCAUCUAUGGACCGGAUUGACCAAAAUGCAACAUUUAAAAAAAAAUAAAAAUAAUAAUAAAAGAAGAAAUUAAGACAACUUACUAGUUUCAAACUUGGUACAAGGGCUCCGAACAUGAAAUUAAUUUUUUUGCAAUCUAAAAGAGAUAGUAAUUUAACUAUAUCUAUGUUUUAUAGAAGUAUAUUAAAUUAAAUCUGAUCAAAUUCAGCUACUGAAUAAUAAUCAAAUUAAAAAAGUUUUCUGUCAAUUUCAAAAUCAAAUAUCUCAAUAGCAUGUCUAUUAUAAAAAGAAUUUGCUUAAUGAAAAAGAAAAACACACACACACACACAAGAAUUUGCUUAAUGAAAAAGAAAAACACACACACACACACACAUAUAUAUAUAUACAUAUAUAGAGCUAGACUACUAUACUAUCGGUAGCACGGAGUGUCCCGUGCUACCAAGUUGUUUUCGAUGAUGCGGCGACUCUAUAUAUAUAUAUAAAAUAAGAAACUAAAAGGCUUUAUUUUAUGUACAGAAAAUUGGCGAGCAACUAUACUGCUCAACGGUGAGAAAUAAUAAUUGCAUAAUUACUUUAUUUAGAAAUAAUAACAACAUUCAAUCAUCUGAUAUGGGCAAUAUUUGUUACAAAUUAUUUUACUAACAAGUACUUUUUAAUUUUAAAAAUUAUUAUAUUAUUUUUGACUAAAAUUUUGUAACUUCAUAGCACAGCAUAGUUGAUUGUGUGCAUAUCUCAUAUAAGAAAAUGAUCACGUCAAAGACUAUUAAAGAUGUUCAUUUACUUUUAUAACUUCUAUUUAGGUUGAUUAGUGCAGUACAAAUUAAACUGUGUGCGGCCCAUCAUAUUUGAUACAUAAGUGAUCUCUUAAAAAAAUAGUAUAGAGUGCUCCGUGGUACCUAAACUAUAGAUUCUUUAAUAGAAAUUAAUAAAUAUAUAAAAUGGGAUUAGAUGCUCUUGUAUCCCUACAAAACAAGGAAAUAUAAAAUUGCUACAAAAUUUUAUAUCUUUAAUAAUAUUCCUCCUAAUUUUUAAAAGUUUAUUAAUAUGUCCUAGACAACUACCAUCAAUUGACUAUUAAAUUUUAAAUAAACACUACUUGUACGCCCAAUUUGCGUGUUAAUAUUAUACCCUCAUCUACCAAAUGGGUGGCAGUGUUUGACUUAUUAUCUAAUGUGACUAGUAAAUUAAGUACGCUUUUCAUUGGAUUGGGAGGGUGUAGAUUCAAAUAGGGUUUAUAACUAGCAUAGCUCUAAAUUUUAAUAUUAUGAUUUUUUUGCCUUUCAAAAAGUAUGGUUAGUUGUUGUUGUAAUAAUUUUGUAUUUAGGAUUCAUGAGAAUAACAUUAUAGUUGUAACCAAAAUAUUAGAAUUAAAAGUUGAUGAUAAAAUAUCUUUCACGCUCCAGAGUUUAUUUUUUUUUAACAAAAAAGAUGGCUAUAUUUUUUUGAAAUACAAGAGUCACACGAGAAGCCAUCUAGAUAACUUUGAAAUACGCUUUAAACAAACCCAGACGUGUAUAUACCUGCCACAUACAUAGAAUUUUUUUGUCUACACAAGUAAACUCUCUCUUAUACAUACACUGCAUCCGGCACCGAAAUUACUAGUAACACUUCACAUUUGUAUUAGAUAACAGUAUCAAUAUACAUAAUUAUAAUCUGAGACAAUUAUACAAGUAUGAUUUACACUAAUGAUUCUAUAGUAAGAUAAUGGUAUAUCCCUGCAAACUCCGCCGACAUAAGAUAAUGGUAUAUCCCUCAUGUCUUUGCAAUAAAAAAACAAAUCUCCUCCAAUCUCUUUUUUUCAAAUUAAAGCCAUUUUGAAAACCACAAUCGAAAAACCAGCAACCACCACCACAAUCAUUCAGCAUUAUUUAAAACAUAAAAAGGAAUUAAUCACUUUUUCAUUACCCACAAAGAACAAUUGUGAUUAAAAGUAAAGGUUUUAGCUACUGUCCAUCCAACUAAAAAUUAAGGUAUCGUUUGGUUCGGAGAUAAGCAAAAAGUGGGUAUUCCGGAGAUAGGUAUAAAUUGAGGUAUAAGCGAGGAUUAGAUCAAUUUUGCGUUUGGAUGAAAAUUGAGCUAUUGCUGGGAAUAAGAAAAAUAGCGUUUGGUUAGGUAAGAUAGGAUAAGAAUUAAAGUUGGCAGUUAAAAAUAAAAAAUAAUGAUAUUAUCUUUUUCUUUAUAUUAGAAUUUAAACUUUUAUAUUUUAUAUUUAUAUUUUAAAAUUUAAAAUAUAAACUUUUGAAUUUUAAAUUUAAGAUUAAAAUUUUAAAUUUUAAAAUCUCAAAUUUACAAUUUAUUAAAAGAUCAAAAUUUUAAAUUUUAAAUUAAACAAUUUAAAAUUUAAAAUUUUAAUUUUAUAAUUUUAAAAUUACAAAUUUUAAUUUUUGAAUUUAUAAUUUAAAUUUUAUAAUAAAUUAAAAAUUCUCUCUCUCUCUCUCUCUCUCUCUCUCUCUCUUUAUGGGUGGAACAAGUAGGGUGAUCCUAAAAAUACUUUUUUUAAAAUUCAAAAAUUAAAAUUAAAAUUUUUAAUUUUUAAUUUCAAAAUUUAAAAUUAAAAAUUUAAGAUCAAAUUUAAAUUUUAAAAUAUAAAUAUCAAAUUUAUAUUAAAAAAUAUAAAAUUUAAUAUUAAAAUUUAAAAUUUAAAAUUUAAAACUAUAAACUUGAAUUUUGAAAUUACCAAUUAUAAAUUUUCAAAGCUAAAAUUAAAAUUAAAAUUUUUAAUUUUUAAUUUUUUUAAAAAAAUAGGGGUGGGAACAAGUUGUUCCCACCCCUAUUCUACCUAAGGGUGGGAACUAGCUAUUCCCACCCUUAACGUUCCCACCCUUAACGGACGUUAAGGGUGGGAAUAGCUAGUUCCCACCCUUAAAAAUAGUAUUUGGGGAACAAGGGAGGGAUAACCUCUUAUCCCCACCCUUGUUUCCCAAUCAAACAUGACCUAAAUGUUUUCUCAGAAGGGAUGUAGUUAGCUAUUGCAAUUUUUACGUAACGUUUCCUUCCUCAGCACCUAACAUAAUUAUAAGAAAAAGAGGGUAAGGUACAAAUGAAUGAAUCCUAGUGGGUGCAACGCGUCGGCAAUCCUAGCAAGUUAUACCAACUAUUCUACAAUAUUAAUCAAUGAAACAAUCAGCAAGAGAAGUAAUAAGAUAAACAAUAAAAUAGGGCGGCGAAAUAUAAGUAUAAUGAUAAUGAACUGAAAAUAUAAACUGAAUAAUAUAAUACCUGUAAUAUGCACCAGCAUAAGUUUCAGUCGAAUAAUAUCAAAUCAAACCACUCUUGGUCCCAAAAAUCUUAGGCUCAUGUUAUGAUAAGUUACUUAAUUAACUGGACUAAUAUAUAUAACACCCUAUACUAGAAGGUAUAGUGGAGGCUCAUGGGUCAAUCAGACCACUCCACUAGUAAAAGAAACUAGUGCGGGGGCUAAUUCAUCAGUGUAUGCGAAAUGUGUAGCAGGUGCAUGAUGUUACAAUGCAUAAUAUUCAAGCAACAUAAUGGUCAAAUGACUGACAUUCGGCAAGAAGCCUACGAACUCUCAAUAGAAAUAGCAACAUAGCCCACAAGGCCACUAUAUCUAUAUAUAUCUGAAUAAUCAUAAUAACCUACUCUACUAGUCAUAGAAUAACUACAAAUACAAAAUUUAUAGCAAGAAUGGAACUACACUCAGGGGUAGGUAUAAUGCACAAGUAUGGUGUGGCAAGAAGUAUAAUAUAUAGCAAAAUAAGAAUAAUUAUAUCUGUGCAAAAAACCUAAGGAUCAGACGGUUUCUAUGUAAAUUUUACUCUUAAAUUAAAUAUUCACAGUUUGAAUCAUUAUACCGUUUAGAAAAAAAAAGAUUUUUUUUGUUUUUUAAAUUAUGAUCAGUGUAAAGUGGCCCAAAUGUUAGGACAAAAUAUUAACUUGAUAAAUAUUAUUAAAGUGGCGCAAAAGUUAGAAUAAAAAUAUUGAAUAGAAAAAAUAUUAUUAUUAAUUAAAUAUAAUUAAGAAGAUAUAUAUUCAACGGCAAAAUAUGUAUUUUGUAAUCAAGGGCCAGCUUUAUACGUUCAAUUAAUCAAGAGGGAUAUAUUUGUAAAAUUUGUAACUUUUUGAGAGAUAUGUGGUAAUUAAAAUUUUGUAGGGCUAAGUAUGUAAUUUCAUUUCUUUAUAAGGACACCUGUGCAAUUAAUAUUGAAAUGUUCGCGAGUCUAUGCUCGGAAAUCGAAAAGGAAAAGAAAAGACUCGGCAAUUCCGAUCGAGAGCGGGAGAUGAUGGCGAGGGCUCCGAUGGUGGAGGACGAUUACGAGGUACUAUUUGGAUUCGAUUCGAGUCGAUCCCUCUACGCUCAAAUAGAUCGCUUCGUCGUGUAAUUUUUGUCUUAUAUUAGGGUUUUAAUGUAUGAGAUCAUGUUUUUUUUUCUUUUUUUUUUUUGGGUGGUAAUUUUGCCGCGUAAUUCGUAAUUUUUGUGUAAUUUGCGUCCAAUAAUCUGUUUCUUGCGUAGAAACCCUCGGAUUUGAACUCAGGAAAGGGAAAUUAUUGAGUAAAUUUAUGUAUAGAGACUCCUAAAUCCCUAAAAUUAGGUCAAAUGAUCUCUCAUCUUGAUUUGAGCGAUGUAGUCGAUUAAAUUGGAUAAUCUUAUUAAAUUUAUUGGUGAUUCCAUUGAAUUCGUCGGCGUUGACGAGUUUUUAGAAAAUUAAACUGAAGCAAUUAACAGCUAAACAAAUAAUAGUUAAUAGAGCCACUGAAUUUAAAAGAAUUUUAAAGUUAGCUAACUAGAAUAACUUCAAAUGAAAGAAGAUAAAAAGAUGUUGAAGAAGCAUCAUAAGAAAAAACAAACAGUUGAGCGAGCUCCGUUCAAAAUGGCCUAUAGUUGAGGGGGUUGGAGUGCUUUUUUUCUUGAAUUAUUGCUUUCAUAUGGUGUUUCUGUUCAUUUCAUUUGCUGCUUUCAAUAUUUGGCGAUUUUUGCCCAAAAAUCAGAAAUCUAAUCUGAUAAAUUGAUCUACAACAUCUAAAAUGCUUAUGUGCAAAAAAUUAUAAGUUUUAUCAUGUAGUGCGAAAGUUAACAUAAAUUGAAUUACAAAUGAAAUAGGUGUCCAAAUAUAUGUAGGUCUUCUCAAUGUUAUAUUAGGGAUCUACGGACUAAUUUCUGAUUUAUGGCCUCUUUGGUAUGGUUUGAGGGAGUGGCACAUAAACUGUGCGAUAAGAGAAGCUAGGAGUUUGAAUCUUGUGAUCUUAUUAAUAGCAUUAGAUUAUUGUAAGUAGUACAUAGAAUAUCUUGUGAUUUAUAAACUUGUGUCAUGUUUAGAUGUAGUGGAAUUGUAUUAGGUAUGUUAAGUUUCACUUCACUGAUGUCUUGCAACAUUUGAGUACUUGUAACUUCAAUGUGAGUGAAGGAUGCUUAGUUGUGAAAUAAGUCUUAUACUAAUUAAAAGCUCACUAAAAAUAUACGGGGGUUACCUGAACUAUAGGCCAUUUGUAAAUAGCUACCAAAGUUUAAAAGUUUAAGUUUGAAUACAUAAUCUUUUGAAGUUCGCAUUUCAGUCCCUCCCGACGUCCCUAAUAGCUCUAUAAGUUAUUGCUUCUACCCAGUGCAUUUGUACAUCUGUAUGAGCCUCUUUGUCUUCUUCCCUUCAAUUGAUGUUGUACUUGAAUCUCUACCAUUCACCACACUGCAAUUCUUUUUUCUUGAAAAAUAUGAUCAUUUCUUGCCUCUUAUGAUCAUGCUCAUAAUUGUAGGUUGAUCAAGUACAGAAUGAGACCAUGUAUGUGUGAACUGCCCUUUUGUAACUGCUACUUGUAUAGUUCAACCUUUCUUUCGUUUUUCAUCGUUCUCAUCAUGCUACUAGGUUGAGAAUGGUGCCUUCUUUGAUGUUUGCAAAUUUGCUUUGAAACCAUUUCUCUCAUUUAUUUGGCAUCUUAUUUAAAUUGGUUAGAAGUGUUUACGGACCAAAUCUUUUAGAUGAUUGGCUGUCUUGCACGUCUUCUUCCACCAUUGUAGUUGGACAUCCUUCAACUAGAUGAUGAUCAAUGUUUCAUUUCUAAGAGAAUAUUUGACUUGUACUUGUGAAUCUCUUCCUACCUAAACUUUCGAACGUAACUAAAGCUAACUGCUUGAUGAUAGGCCUAUUGUAAUUGACCUAUAUAGGCAGAGCCCAUAUUACUAAUAUUGACCAACCAUACUCCUUAAUUAACCAUUAACUCUGCCAACAUCUUCUAACUAAGAUGAGUAGGAAUCAAAUCCUUAGGAAUCCCUUCAUUCUUAGUAAUCUUUCAUAGCGCGAGCCAAACAAACCCUUAAAGUAAUUGUCUUACAAACACUAGGUAAUCUUGUUUAUGGAUAAUGACUAUUUUUUUUACUAUCUUUUAUUUAAUGGUUUCACAAUUCAAAUGCCUAUAUAUACCAAUGGAUGAGAUGUUUGACUUGCAUAUUUCUGAAUACUUAUGUCACUUACAAUAUCUUUGAUUCAGGUAGUACUAUCAAAUUAUGAAAGUUAGAGACUUCUUUGGUGGAUACCUGCACAAGAUUCUCAUACUGAACAUAUUUAGUAAAAAAUAAAAAAUAUUGUUCCAGAUGAUUAGAGGAGUCAAUAAACAUAUCAUGCCGUGUUUGAGGCCUCAGCGCCUAGGCGCGACUCGCGAGUCUCAGUGCCUUAAGGAGUGAGGCACACGCCUCAGAUGCGCCUUGUGAUAUUUACGCUUAAUGUGUCUAGGGUUUGGGUUUUCGGUUUUGAGUUCCUUCAAUAUAUUCUAAAGUGUUAAGAAUUUUUUUUAAAAAAAAAUUCUAAUUUGAACGUUUUUUUUCCUUUUCUCUUGGCCGUUCUCUUUUCCACCCUCCAAUGGCAAUAUGUAGUAGCGGCAAGAAGCAAGAAGCAGCAGUAAGCACUUUUAAGUUGAAAAUUGAAACAUAAUUUUUUUAUUUUUAGGCUGAAAACAUUUAUGCAUGCUAUUUUCUUACUUUUUUAUGGUUAUUUUGUUUUUGUAUUGCUAUUUUAGAAUUUUUUAACAUAAAACAUCCAUUUAAAAUAGGCUUGUUAAGAGUGUUUUAUUUUUAUUAGAUAUGCGCCUCACCUUCUUGAGGCGCGCGCCUCGCGGUGCGCCUCGCACCUAAGCUCCAUAAGGCCUUUGCGCCUUGCGCCUUUUCAAACACUGAUAUCAUGUGUCUUUUCCAAAAAGAAAAAAAGAACAAACAGUAUGUUGUUUUGCAAAAAACAUGAUAUGUGGAAUACUUCACAAAAGAACAUUCAAGAUCUUCUCUGAAAGGAUUUGGCAAAUAGGCAAAAUCUUUAAGGCACAUAGCUGUGAUAUAGGAUUUGGCUUGUAGAUAGGUAAGCCUGGCCGGGUUUGCUAGGUUACUCGGGGGGGUUGGGUUCACAUUGAGCCUCCUUGUUGUCAGGUUGGGUCUGGUUCGGGUUUGGCCCGUACUGAGUUACUAUGCCUCCUCAACCUGACCUGAUUGAGCUGCAGGUUGGGACCGGUUCUGAUUUGGCCCGUUGAGCUUACUAUGCCUCCUCAACUCAACCUGACCAGACCCACCACCAAUCCAAUUUAUAUGACACUAUCCGCACAAAUAGAAAUACUUCGAUAUUGCCGCAUGCAUUUAGUCAAAUAUGAUGGUCAAAUGGCUUUUUAAUUUGAUCGACUUUGUGUAAACAAUAAAUUUCAUAGAUAUCUACCUUCAUUUGAAUUUUUAUGCCAAUUCUCUUAUCUAUCCAGUGUUGCAUCUAUCAUUUCAGCCCAAUUGCUUUUGCAAAGUUAUAGGUUGGAAUCAUAUUCUGUUACCUUUAAAACUACUCCCUUAUCCAUAGGGCCUCUUCCAAUUGUUGUUUGUGGUUAUCCUCUCACAUGUAUAACCAGUUGAUUUUGUGCAUGCAGACUGAAGAGAAAAAGCAAGCUGCUGCUGAUGUUCUCUAUCACUACUCGCAAUUUGUCAUGGUAUGCAUUGGGGAAGGAGUUCGACCAACUGAUCUUAGGUUGCACCUAAUGAAGGUAUAUAUUAAUUCGCUUCACUAUUCAUUCUUUUCCUCUCUUUCUUUUCUUCAUCUCUGAUUCCACGGUAUUGCAUUGUGAACUUGGGAAUAAUUUGGAUGUUUAUUGUGUUGUAUUAAAGGUUUUAAGAUUUAAAUUCAGGUAGCAUAGGAGAUAAGUGUUUGCAUUCGAAAUUAGCUAUAGUGCUUGUUCGUAUUUUGUAUUUGUGGCCUGUGAAAUCUUGGACUGAAACUUAAUAACAGAAGCUGAUGUACACAGAAGCUUGUGCCAGUCCUUUGGUAAUGUCUAUGCUACUAUAAUAUCUGUAGAAUCUGCCAAACGAAUUCCUUGCGCGUUGUUGUUUAAAAAUAUAAAAAAAAUCUUGUGUAGCUACAAAGAAUAUGUACAUCAUUAUCUUCGCCUGAGACUUUUCCCAGUAUUUUAGACUUAAAGCUGGUUCUCAACUUGAGAUUAAAUCCCUCAAAACGAGAGGCUUGGGAUGGAAAUUUAAGGCCUUUUUGGAGUAGUCUGCUUGGUGCAGGUUUUGGUCAUGCUAGCCAUGCACCAAUCCUCGAAAACGUGCUGUAGAUAUUGAAAGAUCUUAUGAGGUGUUCGUGUAUUUACCAAAUUAUUUAUCUGUAUCCAUUCUUUUGUCUUAUCUUCAGAAGCAGCAUAAUAUACUUUUUAAAUGAAUCUGCGCAUCCUAUAAUGGAUAUGGAGUUUAAGAAGUGGGUUGUUAUUUGAUGAGUACAUAGUAUGCGGUAGUAAUGUCUAAUGGUCACUGUCUUUAUCAGACUUGUAGUUUUAAACGGUAUUUUUUUUCUAUGUCUGUCUGUCCAUCCGCCCUUCUAUCUGUUCUGUGAGACACAAGAUUUCUCACCAUGCAAUCUGCGACAGCUAAAUAAAACCUUUGAUAUGUAGUAAUUUGAAUAAUCCGUAUGUAAUGAAUAAUCAGCCAUACGGGCAACAUGCCAGCAUGUUUGGAUAUAAUUAUAAGGGUUAUUUGCAUACACGUCCCUGCAAACAUAGUGAAUUGCGAAAAUAUCCCUGCAAAACGGAAACUCCAUAAGUUGUCCCUGCAAAAGUCCUAAGUUAUGCAGAUAUGUCCCUCCGGUUAACAUCCGUUAGUGAUCCGUUUAUUUUUUAACAGUGGAUUCGUGAAAUGACCAUUUUACCCUCUCAAAUAUAUCCCUCCAAAAGUCUUCCUCUUCCCCUUCUCUUUCUCUUCCUCUUCGGACCGUCGAAGCAGACGACGGCGGCGGCGGCGGCGGCGCGAGGUCGGGUUCGCCGGCAACGAAGAAGAGGAAAGAACGCCGGGGCACCGGAGCUCUACCUAGAGCUCGUCGCCCUCAACGCCGUCUCCUCCCUCGUCGGCCUCCUCGGCGCCGACAUCGCCGUCGACGUCGUCUCCCUCCUCACCGACCUCACCGACGCCGACGUCCUCGGCGACCACGACGACCCCGCGCACGCCCUCGUCGCCGCCCUCGUCGACAACAACGCCCUCGAGCUUCUCGUCCAGAAACUCGCCCGCCUUUCCGAGGCCGACCCCGACGAGGUUCUUCUCUCUCACCGGUGACGAAGAAGAGGGAAGAGGAAGAGGAAAAAGGAAGAAGGAAGAAGGAAGAAGAAGGGAAAAGAGGAAGAGGGAAGAGGAAAAGGAAGAGGGUUCGCCGCCGUCGUCGCCGUCGCCGCCACAUCUCCUCGCCGGCGACGAAGAAGAAGGAAGAGGAAGAGGAGGAAGAGGAAGAAGGGUAAAUACGUCAAUUCACACUAUACUUAACCAUGGUUACGUAUUUUAACCGUGGUUAACGAAAAAUUUCUAACAGAUCUGGACGGCAGGGACAUAUCUGCAUAACUUAGGACUUUUGCAGGGACAACUUAUGGAGUUUCCGUUUUGCAGGGAUAUUUCCGCAAUUCACUAUGUUUGCAGGGACGUGUAUGCAAAUAACCCUAAUUAUAAAUACAGUGUAAAUAGCGACACAUAAUUUUGGCUUGCAUUUGUUGCAAUUGUAUCUAUCUCAUUUUGUCGUAUGUAGUUGAGAGUACUACAACUAGAAAUUUUCUAUUUGGUUGCAUGCAAUUGGAAGCUGCACUUGUAGAUCUUGUCAUUUUAUAUGUAAGAUGAUGAUAUCACACCCAACAUAGAAAAUUUUGGCCUUUUUUGUUUGUGAUGCGAGUAUGUAGGUAAUAUUGUUCCUAAUACGGAAGUACUCUCUCUUUACUGUCUCUCUCUGUCUGCUGCAUUUCCAUGUAAAUGCAUGCAGUAGUUAAGGCUUCGUCUAAUUGACCUAACUGCACUGUUUAGGUACAAAUGCCCCAAACCAAGCAGAAUUUUUGGGUUUUUGCUGUUAUACCUACUGCGCAACUCGAGAUGCGAACAAACAAACAACCCAUAGAUUUAUUGAUUUCUCUCUCGUUCUAGGUGUCUACAUCUUUGCUGAUAUUGGAAUUGAUAUAUAACUGGAAUUUUCUGCAGGAACUUUCGGGAAUGCCUUCAUCUUUGAAGAAAGAGCCUUUUCCUGCAUCUUCUUCUCCCGAUUCCAUAGGUGCAUCAUCGUCGGGGAUGGCGAAAGGCGAGAAAAACAAACUAAGCUCGUAGGCUUUUCGCAUCGAAUCAGAUGCAUGUAGCAUCAGUUGUUCGCGAUGAGAACUAUCAAAAAAAGCACCCGAGACGACGAAGUUCUGUAUUCCAGCGAGCAUCAUUUUGUAAAUAACAGAAACCGAGCCAAACUAAUGCACCAGUUUUUGAUGCAAUAGCUGGAUUGGUAAGUCUUUUAGAUUUUUUUUGUUUCUUUUAAUUUUUUGAUAUUGUACUUCAAAUCGAUUGGUGACUGAUCUACUUCUCUUCGUUCGGUCAAUGAAAAACACUUACAUAAGUGGUUUCUAUAUCUUCAUAUGUAGCCCACAAAUUUCACUUUUACAUGUAUUAUUUCCUUGUGUACCCCUUAAAAGCUACAGUUUGUAUCUAUAUUCUUAGAGAUGCCUCAUAUUUGCAUAUAUACCCCUGGAAAUUGCUCAAAUGCUCUUAGCAAUAGCUCAUAUUUGUUAUUUGCCCUUCUUAGGAGCCUCUUAUGCUGAAAAGGUUGCACUAGGGGACAGACGUAUGCUAAUAUGAACUUUUUUUAGGGAUACAAGUGCCAAAUGUUGCUUUUGAGGGGCAUGCACGCUAGUUAUUUUGGAGAGUAUACGCAAAUACUAUUGCUUUUAAAGGAUAGAUAGAUAUACAAUUUUAUAUAUUUUGAAGUGUAUAUAUGCAAAAGACCCUAUGUAAUAUUCUAAUGAACGAUGAUAAUCGUUCAGACACUGCAAGAAAAAAGAAUUGGUCAUUCAAUUGUCUACUACAUCAACACCCAGGCAAUAAGUUUCCUCUAAAAGGGGCCCCGUAUAACAUAAUUUCCAUUUGCCUUCCUUUGCUUUGAAUUCCAGAGUCCUAUUUUUUUUUCUGUAUAUGAGUUAUGUUUUAAUCGUGGGUUGGUCAAUGCGGACGACUAAGAGUCGAAGUCAGUCAACUCCUCUUCUUCCUCCUAUACUUCUCUCUACUUGUUCUAAUUCGGUAUUUAUAUUCUCUCCGCCUCCGUUUUCUUCGUUUCAUCUAGUCAAUUGUAUGUCCUCUGUCUUAUUCGAUGGGUUUCUGCCACCGAUCGCUCUUUCUCCCUUUGUUCUUUCUGCUCGCCUCUGUUUUGUCCUCUAACGGCAGCGCUACCGUAACUGCCUGAUGCCUUCCGACUGAGGGCUCUCUUCUUUUACAAUUGAAGCGAGAGCUCUAUAGGUCGAAGCAAGACUAUAAUUCCAACCUCAUAUCUUGGCAAUACGGAACCGAUUGCUGCCGCUGGGAAGGUGUCGUCUGUGACCCCGUGUCAGCUCAGGUCACCUCCCUCGACCUUAGUUGCUAUGGAAUUUCCGGUAAGAUCGUCUCCACGUCUGCUCUCUUCAACCUUACCUCCCUUCACUAUCUCAACCUUGCCUGGAACCGAUUUUGGACUGCCCUCCCGGCUUCUGGUUUGGAGAGGCUCACUAAACUUACCCACCUGAACAUCUCCAAUUCCAAUUUCGUUGGUCAGGUUCCUAUCGGGAUCGCUCACCUGACAAAUUUGAUCUCGCUUGAUCUCUCUGGAGGCUAUGUUGCAAGCAGCGAUUUUAUUGUGAACACAAGCAAUCAAUUGAUACUUCAUGACCCAAGUCUUAUAACUUUGAUUGGAAAUCUCAGCAAUCUGAGGGAGCUCUAUCUCGACGGUAGUUUCAUAUCAAGCGAAGGAUCUGACUGGUGUCGUGCCCUGUCUGUGUCGGUCCCUCUACUUCAAGUUCUUAGCUUGCCAGGUUGCUCCCUCUCUGGUCCAAUUGAUCCGUCGCUCGCGCGCCUUUCCUCUCUAACUACUAUCAACCUUGAGUACAACAACUUCUCUUCCACUGUGCUAGAAUCCUUUGCCAAUUUCUCCUCUCUAAGUAGUCUUCAACUCGCAUCAUGUAGUCUUAAAGGUUUGUUUCCACAAAAAGUUUUCCAAUUCAAGAAUUUGACUCUUCUCGAUGUAUCCGACAACCCAAUGCUUUUUGGAAAUUUACCCGAUUUCCACCUUGAUAACUCUCUCGAGAUCUUGAUGCUCGGCGGCACCCGUUUUUCUGGUGCCAUACCGAACUCGAUUGGUUUUCUCAAGUCCUUGACGAAACUAGACCUUUCAGGUUGUAACUUUUCGGGGCCCAUACCCUCUUCGAUAUUCACCCUUACACAAUUGUGUUAUUUAGAUCUUUCGUCCAACAAUUUUAACGGCACCUGUUUUACUGGUGCUACACCAAACUCGAUUGGUUAUCUCGAGUCCUUGACGGUGCUAGACCUUUCGGGUUGUAGCUUUUCGGGGCCAAUACCCUCUUCGAUAUUCACCCUUACACAAUUGCUUCUAUUAGAUCUUUCGUCCAACAAUUUUAACGGUACGGUGGAACUUGGCUCAUUUUGGAACUUAAGGAAUCUCUCGUAUUUGUCUCUCUCAAAUAACAAAUUGACGGUGAUUGAUGGAGAAUAUAACUAUUCCUCCGCACCCUCCCCUCAGAUUUCCAAUUUGUACUUGGCAUCUUGUAAUCUGACAAAGUUCCCUGUUGCCCUGAUGUAUCUACCUAAUUUGACUGACCUUGAUCUCUCAAGCAACCAGAUUCAUGGCGCCAUACCAUUGUGGAUAUGGGAGAUUGGGCAGAACAAUUUCGAUCGCUUGAUUCUAUCGCACAACAUGCUUACCAAUGUUGAGAGGUCUCUCUCCAUUCCGCCUUUACCAGAUAUCGACAUUCUCGACCUCAGUUAUAACAUGCUUGACGGGCCUGUUCCGCUUCCCCAAGCAACAUCUUUUGUUGUUCUUGAUUACUCUAACAACCGGUUCUCGUCCAUACCGCCGAACAUUUCUUCAUAUCUUCGAUCCGCCUCCUUCUUACAGCUAUCUCGAAAUCAUCUAAUUGGAAAUAUUCCAACUUCGAUUUGUGAGGCUGGCUCUCUCAAAGUCCUUGAUCUUUCUUACAACAGGUUUACUGGUUCGAUCCCGUCAUGCCUGAUCGAAGGCUACAACAACUUGUAUGCGUUGAAUCUAAGGGGGAACAGAUUGCUCCGUGGGACGACAUUGCCUAAUAAUAUUAGCCGCGAGUGUCCUCUUGAGGCGCUAAUUUUGAACGGCAAUGGGAUCGAAGGGCCGCUACCAAAGUCUUUGGCCAACUGCGGCUGGCUCAGGGUGCUGGACUUGGGGAACAAUCGGAUAGUCGACAGUUUCCCAUUUUGGUUGGGGAAUCUCUCAAUGCUCCAAGUCCUUAUCCUUGGCUCCAACCAAUUCUAUGGCUCUGUCGAACUUCCUCUGCAAGGUGAAAGAAGUGACUACCAUUUUCCAAGCCUGACAAUUCUUGACCUCUCCUCAAACAUUUUCACCGGUAACUUGUCAUGGAGCCUCUUCGAGAAUCUUACAGCAAUGAUGGUCACUAGCUCUGCGGGCACAGAAGUUUUGGCAUUGAUUUCUUACGAAUUUUUCAGUGAUUUUAAUGGUGCGAUUGGUUAUCUUGCUACAGCAUCGGUGAUUGACAAAGGGCAGAGCAUUACACUUGAAAAGAUCUUGACAGGAUUUACGCUGAUCGACCUCUCGAACAACCAAUUCCACGGUGCAAUCCCCGAGGUGAUCGGGAACCUCCGCUCGUUGCGAGCGCUAAACAUGUCGCACAAUGCCUUCACCGGAGGAAUCCCUUCUGGAUUUGGGGGCUUGGCACAGCU
rnacentral:lncRNA from 1 species